UACGGGGGGAGCAAGCGUUGUUCGGAUUUACUGGGCGUAAAGGGCGCGUAGGCGGCCACGACAAGUCACUUGUGAAAUCUCCGGGCUUAACUCGGAACGGUCAAGUGAUACUGUCGGGCUAGAGUCCGGAAGAGGAGAGUGGAAUUCCUGGUGUAGCGGUGAAAUGCGCAGAUAUCAGGAGGAACACCAAUGGCGAAGGCAGCUCGCUGGAACGGUACUGACGCUGAGGCGCGAAAGCGUGGGGAGCGAACAGG
rnacentral:rRNA from 1 species